rnacentral:rRNA from 1 species
GAUGAACGCUAGCGGCAGGCCUAAUACAUGCAAGUCGAGGGAGAAUGUUGGAUUCGUCUGACAUGAUACCGGCGCACGGGUGCGUAACACGUAUGCAACCUACCUUUAACUGGGGUAUAGCUCAGAGAAAUCUGAAUUAAUCCCCCAUAAGACUACGACAUGGCAUCAUGAUGUAGUUAAAGCUCCGGCGGUUAAGGAUGGGCAUGCGGUACAUUAGCUAGUUGGUGAGGUAAUGGCUCACCAAGGCUACGAUGUAUAGGGGGUCUGAGAGGAUGAUCCCACACACUGGUACUGAGACACGGACCAGACUCCUACGGGAGGCAGCAGUAGGGAAUAUUGGUCAAUGGACGCAAGUCUGAACCAGCCAUGCCGCGUGAAGGAUGAAGGCCCUAUGGGUCGUAAACUUCUUUUAUUAGGGAAGAAAAAACGGGAUGCGUCCUGUACUGACGGUACUUAAUGAAUAAGGAUCGGCUAACUUCGUGCCAGCCGCCGCAGUAA